CUCCUGUCUCUUUGUAUUUACCCUGAAGUGUUGCAUGUGCGAGCCCCUCGGGCCCCCUCUGCUGCCUCAUCUGCGGCUCCGCUCCACUUCUCCGCCUCGGUCAUGACUCGGUGUCAGAUACUUACUGUGGCCCCAGAAGCCCCAGGAGCCCCUGAAGCAGCACAUGCAGCUGCAGGUGAGUCUGUGUCCAGCAUGUCCUCGUCGGCCCCUGCAGAUGAUGUGGCCUAUGUGGCCCCCUUUCGUCAGACGCCUCUCAGGAACCGGUGAAGACAGAUAUUCUGUUCAGCAGCGGCGAACGGAAGCUUCCUCUGGAGGUAAGAGCUGAUCUGAUCUGCCUCAAUUUACCCGCCUCACACCUCGAUUUGUUUCAUUUUUUAAAAAACAGAAUUACAAAUUACAAUGAACAAAAAGGUGUGAUAAAAGAAUAGUAAUAACCACGUCUUCCUACUAUUCUUUUGUCACGCCUUUUCCAUAUUUGAGUUUCAGGUGGCAGGGUGCUCUGGUUCAGGCUCAGCAGUCCUCUCAGGUGGAGAACAUGGAACUGAUUGGUCUAAGACUCACAGCAACCUUCUUUCUUUUUUGAGUAAUAUUUUUUUAUUUUUAUUUUUUUAAUCAAAGAUAUUAUUUGCAUUGCUUCUUUACAAAUAAAAAUAUCCAGGAUUCCAUAAAAUUUUCUAUUCAAGUUUGUUUAUGUUGCUGCAAUUCACAACAAAUCUGUGUGAUGAUGUAUUUGUCCAGUUUGGUGGAGGAUCUUUACAGACUGAAGGAGUAAAACAUUUGGACAACAGCAGUGUUAUGUUGUGUUAGUUGCAUUGGUUCAGAUGAUUUUGGCAGAUAUUGUCUCAUGUGGAGCACCAUGGCAUAAUGUAAACAAUAAAUCCAGAGGUCUAGCUAACAUUUCACAGAGAUUAAAAUACAUGUCACAUCCUGUCACAUUAAACAUGUCAGCUUCAUUCAUUCACAACUGCUUGAAAAAAAUCAUUUAGCCAUCCUGAGAUA